rfam:Devosia geojensis strain BD-c194 NODE_27, whole genome shotgun sequence.
GGAGAGGUGGCCGAGUGGUCGAAGGCACACCCCUGCUAAGGGUGCAGAUGGGCAACUGUCUCGAGGGUUCGAAUCCCUUCCUCUCCG